GGGUCGGUGGCGUAGUUGGUUAUCGCAUCUGUCUAACAUCAGCAGUGAUCACAGAAGGUCCUCAGUUCGAACCUGGGCCGACUCA